UGGGGAAUAUUGGACAAUGGGCGAAAGCCUGAUCCAGCAAUGCCGCGUGAGUGAUGAAGGCCUUAGGGUUGUAAAGCUCUUUUACCCGGGAAGAUAAUGACUGUACCGGGAGAAUAAGCCCCGGCUAACUCCGUGCCAGCAGCCGCGGUAAUACGGAGGGGGCUAGCGUUGUUCGGAAUUACUGGGCGUAAAGCGCACGUAGGCGGCUUGGUAAGUUAGAGGUGAAAGCCCGGAGCUCAACUCCGGAAUUGCCUUUAAGACUGCCGAGCUAGCAGGUGAGAGAGGUGAGUGGAAUUCCGAGUGUAGAGGUGAAAUUCGUAGAUAUUCGGAAGAACACCAGUGGCGAAGGCGGCUCACUGGCUCAUACUGGACGCUGAGGUGCGAAAGCGUGGGGAGCAAACAGGAUUAGAUACCCCCGUAGUCC
rnacentral:rRNA from 1 species